rnacentral:rRNA from 1 species
UUCAGGAUGAACGCUAGCUACAGGCUUAACACAUGCAAGUCGAGGGGCAGCGGGAUUGAAGCUUGCUUCAAUUGCCGGCGACCGGCGCACGGGUGAGUAACGCGUAUCCAACCUUCCGUACACUCAGGGAUAGCCUUUCGAAAGAAAGAUUAAUACCUGAUGGUAUGAUGAGAUUGCAUGGUAUCAUCAUUAAAGAUUUAUCGGUGUACGAUGGGGAUGCGUUCCAUUAGGUAGUAGGCGGGGUAACGGCCCACCUAGCCAACGAUGGAUAGGGGUUCUGAGAGGAAGGUCCCCCACAUUGGAACUGAGACACGGUCCAAACUCCUACGGGAGGCAGCAGUGAGGAAUAUUGGUCAAUGGACGAGAGUCUGAACCAGCCAAGUAGCGUGAAGGAUGAAGGUCCUACGGAUUGUAAACUUCUUUUAUAAGGGAAUAAACCCUCCCACGUGUGGGAGCUUGUAUGUACCUUAUGAAUAAGCAUCGGCUAACUCCGUGCCAGCAGCCGCGGUAAUACGGAGGAUGCGAGCGUUAUCCGGAUUUAUUGGGUUUAAAGGGAGCGCAGACGGGUCGUUAAGUCAGCUGUGAAAGUUUGGGGCUCAACCUUAAAAUUGCAGUUGAUACUGGCGUCCUUGAGUGCGGUUGAGGUGUGCGGAAUUCGUGGUGUAGCGGUGAAAUGCUUAGAUAUCACGAAGAACUCCGAUUGCGAAGGCAGCACACUAAUCCGUAACUGACGUUCAUGCUCGAAAGUGUGGGUAUCAAACAGGAUUAGAUACCCUGGUAGUCCACACGGUAAACGAUGGAUACUCGCUGCUGGCGAUAUACUGUCAGCGGCUUAGCGAAAGCGUUAAGUAUCCCACCUGGGGAGUACGCCGGCAACGGUGCAACUCAAAGGAAG